rnacentral:rRNA from 1 species
AGCGAACGCUGGCGGCAGGCCUAACACAUGCAAGUCGAGCGGCCGUAGCAAUACGGCAGCGGCAGACGGGAGAGUAACACGUGGGAACGCGCCCUUCGGUUCGGAAUAACUCAGGGAAACUUGGGCUAAUACCGGAUACGCCCUUACGGGGAAAGAUUUAUUGCCGAAGGAACGGCCCGCGUCCGAUUAGCUUGUUGGUGAGGUAACGGCUCACCAAGGCGACGAUCGGUAGCUGGUCUGAGAGGAUGACCAGCCUCACUGGGACUGAGACACGGCCCAGACUCCUACGGGAGGCAGCAGUGGGGAAUAUUGGACAAUGGGCGCAAGCCUGAUCCAGCCAUGCCGCGUGAGUGAUGAAGGCCCUAGGGUUGUAAAGCUCUUUCAGCGGGGAAGAUAAUGACGGUACCCGCAGAAGAAGCCCCGGCUAACUUCGUGCCAGCCGCCGCUGUAAUAC